CGACGGGUAUCCGGCCUGAGAGGGUGUACGGACACAUUGGGACUGAGAUACGGCCCAGACUCCUACGGGAGGCAGCAGUGGGGAAUAUUGCACAAUGGGCGCAAGCCUGAUGCAGCGACGCCGCGUGGGGGAUGAAGGCCUUCGGGUUGUAAACUCCUUUCGCUAUCGACGAAGCCACUUGUGGUGACGGUAGGUAGAUAAGAAGCACCGGCUAACUACGUGCCAGCAGCCGCGGUAAUACAAAC
rnacentral:rRNA from 1 species